rnacentral:snoRNA from 10 species
GAGACUAAUGAUGAAAAUGUGCAAUAAACCAAGAAUUAUGAUUACUCUAGUUCUGAAUACAUGAGUUUCAU